AACGCACAUUGCGCUUCCUGGUAUUCCGGGGAGCAUGCUCGUUUCAGAAUCAUUAAAACCUUCACAAGUUCCUUCUGUGCUGUUAAGAGCGCGAUGGGACAGGUGGAUUUGGGUCACUCGCUUCCCUCAAAGCUGCGAUUGUCUGAAAAUGAUUGUAUGCAUGCGCCGCAUAUUCAAAGUGCAACAGAAAACCACAUUUUUGCUUUCGCUUUGGAGACGUGGGGGAGACACAGGCAUACUCCAAACCAUAUACACACUGCUGGAUGAGUGUCUAUCACUCUUCAGCUUUGAAAACUUGGUCUGAAAUCGAGCAAGAAAACCCGCUGAACUUAA
rnacentral:misc_RNA from 1 species